rnacentral:rRNA from 1 species
AACGAACGCUGGCGGCAUGGAUUAGGCAUGCAAGUUGAACGAACCACUUCGGUGGAGAGUAGCGGAAGGGUGAGGAACGCGUGAGUAAUCUGCCCCUCAGUUGGGAAUAACAGUUGGAAACGGCUGCUAAUACCGAAUGUGGCUUAAGUUCCGCAUGGGACUUCGGCUAAAGAUUUAUCGCUGAGGGAUGAGCUCGCGUCCCAUUAGGUAGUUGGUGAGGUAACGGCUCACCAAGCCGACGAUGGGUAGCUGGUCUGAGAGGAUGGUCAGCCACACUGGGACUGAGACACUGCCCAGACUCCUACGGGAGGCUGCAGUCGAGAAUCUUGGGCAAUGCGCGAAAGCGUGACCCAGCAAUGCCGCGUGUAUGAUGAAGGCCCUCGGGUCGUAAAAUACUGUCUCCCGUGACGAAA